rnacentral:rRNA from 1 species
UACGUAGGGUGCGAGCGUUGUCCGGAAUUAUUGGGCGUAAAGAGCUUGUAGGCGGUUUGUCGCGUCUGCCGUGAAAGUCCGGGGCUCAACUCCGGAUCUGCGGUGGGUACGGGGCAGACUAGAGUGAUGUAGGGGGAGACUGGAAUUCCUGGUGUAGCGGUGAAAUGCGCAGAUAUCAGGAGGAACACCGAUGGCGAAGGCAGGUCUCUGGGCAUUAACUGACGCUGAGGAGCGAAAAGCAUGGGGAGCGAACAGG